rnacentral:rRNA from 1 species
AUUGAACGCUGGCGGCAGGCCUAACACAUGCAAGUCGAACGAGUGGCGGACGGGUGAGUAAUGUCUGGGAAACUGCCUGAUGGAGGGGGAUAACUACUGGAAACGGUAGCUAAUACCGCAUACCAUCGGAUGUGCCCAGAUGGGAUUAGCUUGGUGGUGGGGUAACGGCUCACCAAGGCGACGAUCCCUAGCUGGUCUGAGAGGAUGACCAGCCCAACUGGAACGGAGACACGGUCCAGACUCCUACGGGAGGCAGCAGUGGGGAAUAUUUCACAAUGGGCGCAAGCCUGAUGCAGCCAUGCCGCGUGUAUGAAGAGGGCCUUCGGGUUGUAAAGUACUUUCAGCGGGGAUGCGUUACCCGCAGAAGAAGCACCGGCUAACUCCGUGCCAGCAACCGCGGUAAUUC